CCUACGGGAGGCAGCAGUGAGGAAUAUUGGUCAAUGGACGAGAGUCUGAACCAGCCAAGUCGCGUGAAGGAUGACUGCCCUAUGGGUUGUAAACUUCUUUUAUAUGGGAAUAAAAUGUUCCACGUGUGGGAUUUUGUAUGUACCAUAUGAAUACGGAUCGGCUAACUCCGUGCCAGCAGCCGCGGUAAUACGGCGGAUCCGAGCGUUAUCCGGAUUUAUUGGGUUUAAAGGGAGCGUAGGUGGAUUGUUAAGUCAGGUGUGAAAGGUUGCGGCUCAACCUGAAAAUUGCAGUUGAUACUGGCAGUCUUGAGUACAGUAGAGGUGGGCGGAAUUCGUGGUGUAGCAGUGAAAUGCUUAGAUAUCGCGAAGAACUCCGAUUGCGAAGGCAGCUCACUGGACUUCAACUGACACUGAGGCUCGAAAGUGUGGGUAUCAAACAGGAUUAGAUACCCCAGCAGUC
rnacentral:rRNA from 1 species